rnacentral:rRNA from 1 species
GAUGAACGCUGGCGGCGUGCCUAAUACAUGCAAGUCGAGCGAACGGACGAGAAGCUUGCUCCUCUGAUGUUAGCGGCGGACGGGUGAGUAACACGUGGAUAACCUACCUAUAAGACAGGGAUAACAUCGGGAAACAGGAGCUAAUACCGGAUAAUAUUUUGAACCGCAUGGUUCAAAAGUGAAAGACGGUCUUGCUGUCACUUAUAGAUGGAUCCGCGCUGCAUUAGCUAGUUGGCAAGGUAACGGCUUACCAAGGCAACGAUGCAUAGCCGACCUGAGAGGGUGAUCCGCCACACUGGAACUGAGACACGGUCCAGACUCCUACGGGAGGCAGCAGUAGGGAAUCUUCCGCGAUGGACGAGAGCCUGACGGUGCAACGCCGCGUGAGUGAUGAAGGUCUUCGGAUCGUAGAACUCUGUUAUUAGGGAAGAACAUAUGUGUAAGUAACUGUGCACAUCAUGACGGUACCUAAUCAGAAAGCCACGGCUAACUACGUG